UACGUAGGGCGCAAGCGUUGUCCGGAAUUAUUGGGCGUAAAGAGCUCGUAGGCGGCUUGCCACGUCGGACGUGAAAGCCCGGGGCUUAACUCCGGGUCUGCAUUCGAUACGGGCUGGCUAGAGUGUGGUAGGGGAGAUCGGAAUUCCUGGUGUAGCGGUGAAAUGCGCAGAUAUCAGGAGGAACACCGGUGGCGAAGGCGGAUCUCUGGGCCAUUACUGACGCUGAGGAGCGAAAGCGUGGGGAGCGAACAGG
rnacentral:rRNA from 1 species